UACAGAGGGUGCGAGCGUUGUCCGGAAUCCCUGGGCGUAAAGGGCGCGUAGGCGGCCUGGUAAGUAGGGGGUGAAAUCCUGCGGCUCAACCGCAGGGCUGCCUUCUAAACUGUCAGGCUGGAGCACGGUAGAGGCAGAUGGAAUUCCCGGUGUAGCGGUGGAAUGCGUAGAGAUCGGGAAGAACACCAGUGGCGAAGGCGGUCUGCUGGGCCGUUGCUGACGCUGAGGCGCGACAGCGUGGGGAGCAAACAGG
rnacentral:rRNA from 1 species